GGGGAGUUAAGUAGAGAGUUGUUGUCUGGUCUGUUUAUAUAUUUUUGAUUCUGGGCAUGUUUUUGGGCAGUUUUACUGGGUGUUCCAUUUUUGCUUCAAUUUUUUUGUUUUUUGACAGUUUUUUUUUGUUUUUUUCUGCCUUGCGUUUUGGCCUUGAUUUUUUUGUUCGGGCCAAGCAAAGUCCAUUUUCCUUUCCCUAUACAUGUUUACAUGUAAAUACUCUUGGUUAGAUAUGUGAAAUAGGAACCAUUUUAGAGUCACAUGGAUAGAUGGUG
rnacentral:lncRNA from 1 species